AUAUAUGAUAAACCGGUCAGUUCCCAGAUCUGCAGAGCAGAUUUCCAGGUGUUCUUUCUGAUGUGUUGCCCAUAAGCAAUAAGAUCCUAGGUAAUAACAAUUUAUUCUGGGCUCUGCGUUGGCCCUUGUCUCAGAGGAUAGGGUGGGGGUAGAACAGCUCUUGCUAAGACCUCUUGCCUUUGCCGGAGAGGUGGCUGUACUUGAAUUUUUGCUUCUGUUCGUCUGCACGCUUCUUCAUGUCCUACAACUCUAGCAAUGGAUGAGAAAUCUGCCAGCACCAGACACAUCAAAAAUUGGGCAUAGAGAUUGAAAACUGAUCUAUUUUUCCAUGAAUUUGCAGGGCUUCCAGAAUCUAGUCGAGGCAAAGCUCAUUUGGCUGUGAACAUAAGAACUUUUUACAUUAAAAUUUUGAAUUGACAGUUAAAAGCCCUUUGAGUCUAUCUGCCCUACCUUGGAAAGCUAAGCCCACUUCCUGUGAUCCUCCUCUGUGCCUGGGUUUGAAAUGUCUGGGGUUAAGCCGUUUAGAUGGGAGCAAGGAAGGCAGUCCCUCCUCUCCCAGCGUGUCCAGUUCAACAGGUUUCUAAGCUGUUUAGCAGCCUCUCCUUGUGACCGUCCUAAACUUUAUGAAAAAUACCCCACACCCGAAUAACCAUUAAUAGAAUAAUGUAGUUUUUUAGGCUUUUGGAAUAUGUCUUCUCUUUUGUAUUUAUGACGGUGUUUGGAAUUUUUCACUAGUGUUUUUUUAGAUUGAAGUGGGUGCGUUAGAAUAAAACUUUCCACUGCUGAGCCUGAAAGCAAGCAAGAGGAAAGAAACUGACCUAUAUUGUGUCAUUGGGAAGGUGACUACUGUGGUGGGAGGGCGGGGAGGGGGCAUCGUAGAUUAUGUGCGAGUAAAAUAGAACUCUGGCCUGAGGCUCCCCACGUGUUUAUUACCUUGUAAUAAAUAAUCCCUUUAUUAGCCUCACUUAAUCUCAAUAGAAGCCUGCUGUUUACCCUCAGGGAACAAGUAGUUUUCAAAAUUGAGCUCCUCCAAGGUCAUCGGCCAGUGCCUGUGUGCAGGCAGUGGUCGUCUUUGUGAACUCAUGGCAUUAUUUUCCCAUAUGCAUUAUGGUAGUAAGGAAUUCAACCCCAACCUGUAUGAAAAGCACAGCCCAGGGUCCUACUUUAGGCUAGAGUUCAUGCCUUUCAGGGGCCAGGGGGCCAUAGGAGGCCCAUGCAAUUUAACUGAAGCUCAGGUGCCGUGUUGGGUUUUUAUUCUUUUUAGGCCACGACCCUUCAGAAUGAGAUUAGGGCAGGGGCUGCUGAUCCGGCUGUGGAUCCAGGGAGCUCUAAGAUGAAUCUCUACCGUUCCUUUAAGGUCUUUCUGGUUCCUCCCAGUGUUGUCAUUGCCGAGGUCAAUCUUGUAGUUGUUCAGAUGUGCUCCUUUUUGCUGUCUUGUGAGUCUUAGCCAGUGAUCCAGAUGCCUAAGGAGAGAGUCUCUGGAUUCUCGGUACCAAGUGUGUGCCCCUAACCUGUGUGCAGGUGGUCUUUCCAAAAGCAGUGAAUUGAGAAGUUCUACAAAUGUUAAUCUGGAUGAUAGAUGUGUAUCCUUGGGCCUGGAUUUCCACUGUGUUAGUGAGUGUAGGAAAAUACUGUGUCUUUAAUGGAUGAAAAUUCAAUGUAUGCUGUGAAUUUGUUGGUUUGAAACAUUGAAAAUUUUUCAUUAGACAAUGUUUACAUACCUCACCUGAAGAACCUUUGAGAGUGUAUAUAUGAAAUUUAAAAAUAUAUUAAGUUGCUUUAAAACAAUAUGUAUAGCUAUAAAAGUUGGAGUUAUUUUAACUUUGAAUAUGUACCAAGUCUCUUAAAUAUUGAAAUCUUGUGGACUUUUUGUGCUUCUGUGUUUUACUUUCCUAUUAGGCCAUGUAGGAAACUGUGUUCUUGUUAUUGGUAAAGGGGCCCUCACUGAAAUCCAAGCUUGGAUGGAUUUCCUUUGUUGUUUCAGAUUUUCUUGUUUGGUUUUGAGGGAUGGGGUAUGGAGCUAGAGGAUGUGUGGGAGGGAUUUCUCUAACAUUGACAUCUAUUCCAUGAGCUUUUUCUAGGCGCUUAUUUUAUUGCAGCGUAUUAAACUUCUUUGAUAUUAAAGUGUGUUUGUGUAGUUACUGGACAGGGAACAGAAUGCACUGAAGCCCAGGAUUCAACUUGUAGCCUGUGGCAAAGUUGAGCAGUUGCCAGAAGGAACCAAAAGACAAUACUUCUAAUACUUCUGCCUCGGCCACAGUGUUGGCACAUAAGGGAAUGUUGUUUGGUAGAUCUGAGGCCAUUUUGUGAGGUAUGCCUAACUUCGGGGAAAAGAAAACACUGCGGAUGAAUCCUUGGAAUUCCCAUGGUGGAGUUGGAAAGGUGCCAGUGCUUCAUCCUGAGGGGCGGGGGACCUGGUGAACCAGGUAAGCCACUGUUAAAUACCAGGGUGAUACGCACAGCUGCCAAGGGGGGCUGCCCGGCUGUCUGUAGCCCAUGUUGGGGAAGGGCAGAACGUUGGCAUUUACAUUUACUAGCCCCAUGACCUGUUUCACUAUAUUCUUUCAGUUCUGCUUCAGAGGGGUUUAUGUAAGGGUCCAGUGGGCCAGUGAUUUCCUUUUGGAGUCAGCCAUGGUUUCCUGAAUACGUUACAUGAUGGUGGCCAUUGACAUGCAGAACUAUAUCCGGUGAAAAUAACCCCACCUCUGUUCACUUGAAUUUGGAGAAUUUAUCUUGUUCCAGAUUAGGAGUUUUCAUGGUUAAAAUAGACUUCUUUUCCUCCCAUAUUCAUCCCAUGGGAGGAUAACUAGAAUAUGGCCUGAGAGGUGCAGACUGACUGGCUUGGGGUGAGGGGACAUCUCUAAAAUUAGUUCUGAGAGCACAGAGUAUAGGGGUGAUAGACAUGCUUUAGCACCAAUCUCGGGAAAACUUGGCAACUCUAGCUGGAAGCCUGGUCAUUCUUUCUGUUGCUUCCACUCCCCAACCAAGCCCUGCUAUGCUCAUUUCCUUGGUCGGGGAUUUCCUUUUAACUGUUAAAGUUGCUACUUACUUUCCUUUAAUUCAGAGGUUGCAAACUAGUGGCUCACAGUUGUAUUUUAUUGAGCCCAGUGUUUAAAAAAGUUAUCUGUACACAUGAACUGUGAGGGUUUACAUAAAAUUUGGUUUCUGGCUUCUCUUUUAAAAAUCAUAAUGAAGAUCUAAUAAAGUUAGUGCAUGGUACGAAUCAGGUAGAGCUCAGUAGAUUGGAAAAUGUGCCUCUAAGGUCACCAGAAGUCCCUAACUGUCAGCUGCCAUUUGUCCCUUUUUUCUUUAACAGUAGGGAAAUCGGUCUCUUACCCGCUGCUAUAUCGGAAGUGGUAAUACAAAUGAUGGGCCAGAAGGGCAGGUGCCCAUUUACUUAGGUAACCUAUUGGCCAGACACUUGAGCUUACAACCCUAUUUUAACCCAUUUUCUUCCUUAUACCCAGUUCAUUACAUUUCCUCCCAAAUCCCUAAUUGCUUUGCAGACACUGCAGUUACCAUCACCGCCCACUUUCAAGGUGACCAUGUGCUGUUCAGGCUAACAGCAGGCAAAGAGGAGACGAGUCCGGCCUAUUCCUGACACCUUCCCAGGGAGCCCCGGCCACCAUCGCCAGCAGUGCUACCAAAGCAGCAGCAACCUCAGGACUUGCCCCGCUUGUGUCCCUUCGGUGCAUGUUGAAUGGAGACAGCCGGUGGUGACACCAAAGUGAACGAAGGUCUUUAUCAGAGGGGUGACAAGGUGUGGAGGUGAUUAAUCAGAGCUUGUUUCGCCAGAGCCUUCUCCUGGGCCUAAAUGUGGACGGACGAGAUGAGCGGUGGUCCAGUUCCUUAGCAACUUGCAGGUUGGUGGUUGAGGAAACGUUGAUCCUGGGACACACCACGUGGCUCCUUGCUGCCCUUACUCUUGUGGUGGAUCCCAAUCUUGCAGCUCCACUGAGGGUGCAUGCGGGGCCAGGCUGACAUGCGGGGUGUUGUGGAGGGCCGGGUAGGGGCGGCACCCAGCUCACAGGGUACCCCCUGCAAACGCACACCCCGUACUCUGCCCCCCCAACCCCACGGGAGCGGGAGAGCAGGACUUCUGGCAGCCAUUACCCAUCCGCAGAUGAAGAGGCUGCUGCUGGUUAGUGCCCCUCAAGCUCAGGAAGCCACUUCUACUCCAGGGCAGUGGCGGAAUGGUGGUGGCCACGGGAAGGUAAGUGUCUCGGGGUCGGUUGGCCCAAAGACCUCUCUUCCGUGGAAGGGGUAAGUGCCAGCUGCACUUGAACUUUCCUCCAUAUUAUCAGUACCUGCCUAGCGCUAGAGUUGCUCUCCAGGGUCUCACGUGGUCCAGAAACUGUAGGUAAGAGAGGGAUGCCGUGCAGCCCUAGGAGAAGGCCCUCAAGGCCCAGGCUGCUGUCCAUGGAGAAGGGCACCGUGGCCCUGCUCAGAACCACAAGAAAAUAGAGCCAGAUCCCUGGUGAGAAGCAGAUCCAGCCAUGAAAAUGCCUCUGCAGUUGGGCAGGGCAGGAUCCUCUUUCCAUUACAGGGCUUCCAGGGCUCCAACUCGCUGGCCAGAGUCCUGGUGUAGUAGAGUGUGCCAGGCUUCCUCAGUUGUUGGAGGCUCCAGCCCUCUACCGCUCAGCACCAGGAGCUCCUCCCACCGCCCAUGGUGGCUGAGGACACAGGUGCACUACCACCUCAGCCCCACCCAGCAGGCUCCCCCAGCCCUGUCUUCUGUUUGCAGGUGGAAGGAGCCAGGAAAGGGACAUGCUUGCUCCUCUUGCCCACUGGCGUCCCCUGGGGGCACACUCUCUUGGGGAGACAUCUAGACAGGAGAGUGUGACCUAUCUUCUAGCCAGCUUGCUAUUUAAGCUCAAAGAUAAUCUGUGUUUUCAUUGUGCAUGGAAGAGAAGCAUGGAAGCAUGGAAGUUGUAGUCACGUGGCCCAUAUUCAGUGACUCUUCAAACACAGAGUCCUUCCUUGCAAACGCCUGGGGUAAGCAGCCCUAGCCUGGGCCAGUGUCUAGUGGUCGGAGCCCUCGCUCGGCUCAACUCUUCCCAGGCAUCCCGGUCAUUCCUGUGAUGCUCUACGAUUAGUUCAUAUCUGUCCGUGAGAGCAGAACACCCACAGUGCCAGCCCAGUUAGGCACAUAAAUACUUGAUGUGAUUCAUGAACAUGCAUCUUCUACCUCCUCUAGCCUCCCUUCCGGAGCCACAGUGGGAAGGUCUACGUUGCUCAUAUGUAUGUUCAAACCACCUCCCCAUGGGACAGCUAGGAGACAGAGGACCAUAGAUGGGGAAGACGUUUGCCCAGAGUGACAGGCAGCAGAGGUUUUCUGGUGCCUGUACCACUGCUCCCUACUGGCCUGCAUGGUGAGGGGGUCUGGACCCAGUCUCCGUGGGAGGGGAAGCCUCCCUGGCUAAGCAGCCUAGACCACACCCCCUUGCCCCUGCCAAUGGCUUGACAGCAUCCUGUGGCUGGCUAGGGGCUGGGAAGGCCUAGGACCAAUGCCCCUUUGGUGGUGUCUGGAGGUGGUGGUUAUUCUGCUGGAACCAAGAACCUCCCCAGCGCCUGUCCUCUCUGGUGGGACUGCCACUCCAAACAGACCCAGUGGACGUUUUUGAAGCUACAAUGGUCAACUCGUAACUUCAGGAUUCAGGGGUCUCGUCCUAAGGGACCCUCCUCUAGCCGCAGCCUCACUCCCCACUGAGCAGUGGCUUUAGUGCUACAUCAGCCCAGGAGGCAAGGGUUAGUCCCUUCCCGGCCAGCAGGAGGGGGCCCUUCCCCUGCGCAGCCUGGCCUACUGCUGGCAGAUGCUGCAGCAGCAGAAAAAGCAGAGAUCCUGGCUGGCUGCCCCAGGGGAGGCUUCAAAGUUAUCUGCAGGGGACAGGGGGCUUCUGAGGGCAGUGUGGGCCACCGGCGAGAGGGAAAGGCUGUUUUGGGAAGGGGCCAGUCCCUUCUUCAGACCCAGGUAGUAGGCAAGCAGGGUGGGUGGCGGGGAGGGUCAUCAUUCUGUGCACUUCUUGGCCUGACCUCAAGCACACAUUCAUUCAACAAAUAUUUAUUAAGCGCCUGCUUGUGCAAGGCACUUCCGGAGAGGGCGGCCUAAAGCCCGGGCCACACCCACCCACCCCACCCCCAGCUGCUGGCCUGGUCAACCCCCCCAAGAGAUUGCUGUGGGGUGGGGCCAGAGGGCCCUGCCACUCAGGAACAGGCAGGAUGGCCCGCACCCCCACCCCACUGCGGGCCACCCGGCUUCACUGCAGCCGUGCCCUCUCGCCUGUCUCACCCCUCCCCGUCUAGCCUGGCGCUACUCGCAGAGGGCACAGCCACACUUGGUGGGCUUCUCCACCUCCUCGGCAAAAGAGGUCCCGUCGCUGCACUCAAAGGUGAACUUCCUCCGCUUCAGCCGCAGGCCCUGGCAGCAGCCCUGACCUGGGCAUGAGCCCCGGCACUCCACCCACGACAGCGGGCGCGUGGUCUGGCAGAUGGCAUAGCCCCUCUGGACCUGGUGAAAGUCCCGGACAGGGUCCCCCCGGCACUCGGACUCUGGAUAGGACAGACACCAAGAGAAAGCCUCAGGGCACACCCAUGGGCCAGCGCCGGCCCCGGGGAGGCCGGAGGCGGCAGAGAGGCGCAUCCAAGGACCAGGUCCUCUAACGCUUAGACUCCACCUCCGACCCCACCCGACAUGCACAUGCACAGGCUUCCUUCUGGGCCCAUAGGCCAGUCAGUAGGAAGAACUUUCUAGCUGCCAGGGCCCUCCAGGACAGAUUAGGCUGUCAGGUAAGUGGGCUCCCAGUUGCUGGAAGAGUGCAAGAGGAGGCUGGAGACUGGGGAGGCAAGAACAAUAGAGAAGGAAUCUGUGCCAGGAGCAGGGGCCUAAGGGCCCCUGAAGGUGCUUGAGUUCUGGACUUCUCCAGCUUCCCUCUGCCUAGCCUCAGCAGUCUCAAUCCCAGCAGAAACAUCUUGGUUACACGAGCCAGGGAGGGCCUGGGAAAGAGUCCCCAACCCUCAGACUUCCUGUUGCUCUUGGGUCGCAAGGUGAUGGGGCCAAGAUGUGGAGGUUUGUGCAGGAGCUGUUCCCCUGGGCAGCCCCUUCGAUAAGGAGAGACCCCAGCCAGAAGGGGCACUUGCCCUGGAUAAGGGGGCUUCAGGGCAAGCCGAACCAUUUGGGGGUGGGGGUCAGAGCCUAGAGGGUAGUGGGUACUACGGCCCAAGAGCAGCCCAAGAUGUGGGAGAGGAGAGGGGAGGAGGCACAGAGGGGAUGCCAGGGUUUGGAGGAGGAAAAGUCAAGUCACUAAUGCAAGUUGUGGGGAGGGGCCCUGGAGAGGGCAUGUCAGGAGGGGGGCCCCUGACCUUGCUCACACAGCUCGCCCGAAAAGCCUGGGUCACACACACAGUGUGCCCCUUUGGUGGCCAAGGCCUGGCAGUGGCCAUGCAGGCACUGCAGGCCCCUGCAGGGGUCUACAGGUGCCCCAGCCUGGUUGCACAGAGCCCCCGAGUACCCAUCCUGGCACUGGCAGCUGUAGGAGAGAGCGUCGAGGGGCAUACAUUCCCCAUGGACACACCUGGAGGGGACAGAGAAAAGGUUUCGGAUGCAACCGUGGAAGCUGGUGCCAUUGAGGAUCUGCCACAGGCGGAAGGCAGCCGAGUUCACAUCCACUGGCAUCCCUUGGGUGGGUAGGAGUGAGCAGAGUUGGGCUGAGUCAGGCUCAGACCAUGUCUGACCCUACUGCCCUCGGUCCACUGGGCAUCUCCACGGUGUUCCCUCCCACCCUCGGCCUCCAUCUUUCUGUCUUUGCAACCCUGAGCCAAGAUCCUUUGCCACCUUGGAGGGUCCAGACUCGUUUCCCAGAAAACAAAAAAGGAAAGCCUGUUCCCUCAAUGACCAGAACCCACAGGUGCCAGGCUUGGCAGUGGCCAGCUGACAAAGGAAGCUCUGGGUGCCUAAAGUCUGCCCUCACCCUUCCCGCCCUCUGGGAUACCAGCUUUCACCUCCCAAAGACUCCAAAAGCAGCAGAGGACCUGGGCCUGGAACCAAGGUGUAUGCUGCUUUGUCACCUGCUGUCGUGGUGAUCACAGCAACCCUUGAGGGAGGAGUAGCUGAAACCCAUCUUGUGGUCAGUGAUUUGCCUGAAAUUGUACAACUAACAAACAGCAGAGUUGGGAGUAGAGCCCAGGGCUCUCUCCUUCACACCUGCCCACAGUCUCACCAAGGCCCUCU